GGGCGGUUAGCUCAGCUGGUUAGAGCGUCGCAGUGACAUUGCGGAGGUCACAGGUUCGAUCCCUGUACCGCCCACCA
rnacentral:tRNA from 7 species